GCACAAGCGGUGGAGCAUGUGGUUUAAUUCGACGCAACGCGAAGAACCUUACCAGGGCUUGACAUCCCCUGACCGCGUAUGAAAGUACGUUUUCACCCUCGGGUGACAGGGAGACAGGUGGUGCAUGGUUGUCGUCAGCUCGUGUCGUGAGAUGUUGGGUUAAGUCCCGCAACGAGCGCAACCCCUACGUUUAGUUGCUAACGCGUGAAGGCGAGCACUCUAGACGAACUGCCGUUGACAAAACGGAGGAAGGUGGGAUGACGUCAAAUCAUCAUGCCCCUUAUGUUCUGGGCUACACACGUGCUACAAUGGCCGGUACAGACGGAGGCGAAGCCGCGAGGCGGAGCAAAUCCGAAAAAGCCGGUCUCAGUUCGGAUUGCAGGCUGCAAUUCGCCUGCAUGAAGUCGGAAUCGCUAGUAAUCGCAGGUCAGCAUACUGCGGUCGAAUACGUUCCCGGGCCUU
rnacentral:rRNA from 1 species